rnacentral:rRNA from 1 species
UACGGAGGGAGCUAGCGUUGUUCGGAAUUACUGGGCGUAAAGCGCACGUAGGCGGCGACUCAAGUCAGAGGUGAAAGCCCGGGGCUCAACCCCGGAACUGCCUUUGAAACUAGGUUGCUAGAAUCCUGGAGAGGUGAGUGGAAUUCCGAGUGUAGAGGUGAAAUUCGUAGAUAUUCGCAAGAACACCAGUGGCGAAGGCGGCUCACUGGCCCGAUACUGACGCUGAGACGCGAAAGCGUGGGGAGCGAACAGG